rnacentral:lncRNA from 1 species
UUUUGGGGAUUCUGAUACAGUCAUGAAGUAUUGAUUUAGUCUGUUAUCUAAUAGUAUACAAAGUCUACACUAACAUAGGGUAGUCUAAAAUAAGUAACAAAAUGGUACCAUUAAGAAAGAUUUGUCAUUAUUUCCUUUAUGCAUGUGAAAUAAAUAUAUUUUCAAAAUACGCCUAAUUUACACAUGCAACUUUCUUUUUAAUGUUGUUGCCAAAACUGGAUCUUCCUUCUUCCGAUGGAAAAAAUCAAAGCCAUGCACAGCACUAGCGAGAGCUCUCCAGAGAUGGAGAAGCAUGAGUAAGUUAUACCUAGAGAACAUUACACAUUCAAAUAUCAGCUCCGCAUUUUUCAUCCAAGGUAACUGAAAGACUUACUCUACUCAAAAACAAAUUCCAGGCUGUGAUGGUCCCAAAAGCCAUAAAGCUAACUACUUGUAAUGAUCUCUGUUCCCUACAUAGAAGUCAACACCCCCAACAGACUGGACAUUCUUAUGGCACCUAAACUAGAGCAAACUUCUCAGAGAAAUGUGUUUGGUAGUUGCAAUAAUCCUCAAACACGACUCUCUCAGGGAGCCAUUCCCGGGCAGAGCUAAAGUAAGACAGCUGUCUCUUCAGACAGCUGUGA